rnacentral:rRNA from 1 species
UACGUAGGGUGCGAGCGUUGUCCGGAAUUACUGGGCGUAAAGAGCUCGUAGGUGGUUUGUCGCGUUAUUCGUGAAAACCGGAGGCUUAACCUUCGGCGUGCGGGCGAUACGGGCAGACUGGAGUACUGCAGGGGAGACUGGAAUUCCUGGUGUAGCGGUGGAAUGCGCAGAUAUCAGGAGGAACACCGGUGGCGAAGGCGGGUCUCUGGGCAGUAACUGACGCUGAGGAGCGAAAGCGUGGGGAGCGAACAGG